UACAGAGGUCUCAAGCGUUGUUCGGAUUCAUUGGGCGUAAAGGGUGCGUAGGCGGCGCGGUAAGUCGGGUGUGAAAUCUUGGAGCUUAACUCCGAAACUGCAUUCGAUACUGCCGUGCUUGAGGACUGGAGAGGAGACUGGAAUUUACGGUGUAGCGGUGAAAUGCGUAGAUAUCGUAGGAAGACCAGUGGCGAAGGCGG
rnacentral:rRNA from 1 species